AGCGGAGCGUGUGGUUUAAUUCGUUGCUACACGAAGAACCUUACCUGGGUUUGACAUAUAGGUUGUAGGGAACUGAAAAGGGACCGACCUUCGGGGAGCCUAUACAGGUGUUGCAUGGCUGUCGUCAGCUCGUGUCGUGAGAUGUUCGGUUAAGUCCGCUAACGAGCGCAACCCUCGUCGUAUGUUAUAUGUGUCAUACGAGACUGCCGGUAAAAGCCGGAGGAAGGUGAGGAUGAUGUCAAGUCAGCAUGACCUUUAUAUCCAGGGCUACACACACGCUACAAGUGGUCUGUACAAUGGGUAGCCAAGCCGCGAGGCGGAGCCAAUCCUGAAAGCAGGCCUCAGUUCAGAUUGCAGUCUGCAACUCGACUGCAUGAAGCCGGAGUUGCUAGUAACCGCAGGUCAGCAAUACUGCGGUGAAUACGUUCCCGGGUCUU
rnacentral:rRNA from 1 species